GAUGAAGAACGCAGCGAAAUGCGAAAAGUAAUGUGAAUUGCAGAAUUCAGUGAAUCAUCGAAUCUUUGAACGCACAUUGCGCCCGCUGGUACUCCGGCGGGCACGCCUGUCCGAGCGUCAUUUCAACCCUCAAGCCCUCCUUCGGGAUGGGCCUGGUGUUGGGGCUCGGCCGCCAUCUCCGGCGGCCGUCCCCUAAAUACAGUGGCGGUCACGUCGCCACUCCUUUGCGUAGUAGAAACACCUCGCUCCGGAUAGCAACGCGGUCCACCCCGUAAAACCCCCAAUUUUCAAUGGUUGACCUCGGAUCAGGUGGGAAUACCCGCUGAACUUAAGCAUAUCAAUAAGCGGAGGA
rnacentral:misc_RNA from 1 species